rnacentral:rRNA from 1 species
UUACGGGAGGCAGCAGUAGGGAAUAUUGCACAAUGGGCGAAAGCCUGAUGCAGCAACGCCGCGUGUGCGAUGAAGGCCUUCGGGUCGUAAAGCACUUUUCUGGGAGAUGAGAAAGGACAGUAUCCCAGGAAUAAGUCUCGGCUAACUACGUGCCAGCAGCCGCGGUAAAACGUAGGAGGCAAGCGUUAUCCGGAUUCACUGGGUGUAAAGCGCGUGCAGGCGGUUCGGUAAGUUGGGCGUGAAAUCUCCUGGCUCAACUAGGAGAGGUCGUCCAAUACUACCGGACUUGAGAGUGGUAGAGGAAGAUGGAAUUCCCGGUGUAGUGGUGAAAUGCGUAGAUAUCGGGAGGAACACCAGUGGCGAAGGCGAUCUUCUGGACCAUUUCUGACGCUCAGACGCGACAGCUAGGGUAGCAAACGGGAUUAGAUACCCCGGU